rnacentral:tRNA from 1 species
AAUGAAGUGCCUGAAAAAGGGUUAUCUUGAUAGGAUAAAUAAUGUAAAUUCUAUUUUUACCUUCAUUA